rnacentral:rRNA from 1 species
GAGUUUGAUCAUGGCUCAGGACGAACGCUGGCGGCGUGCUUAACACAUGCAAGUCGGGGGGCGGCCAGCGAUGGCCGUGACCGGCGAACGGGUGCGGAACACGUGAGCGACCUGCCCUGGAGUGGGGGAUAGCCGGCCCAACGGCCGGGUAAUCCCGCAUGCGGCCGUGGCUUGGAGGCCACUGGCGAAAGCCCGGCGUGAGCCGGGCGCUCGAGGAGGGGCUCGCGGCCUAUCAGCUAGUUGGGGGGGUGACGGCCUCCCAAGGCGACGACGGGUAGCUGGUCUGAGAGGAUGGCCAGCCACAUUGGGACUGAGAGACGGCCCAGACUCCUACGGGAGGCAGCAGUGGGGAAUCUUGCGCAAUGGGCGAAAGCCUGACGCAGCGACGCCGCGUGGAGGAUGAGGCCCUUCGGGGUGUAAACUCCUGUUGCCCGGGACGAACGCCACCACUCGUGGUGGGUGACGGUACCGGGUGAGGAAGCACCGGCUAACUCUGUGCCAGCAGCCGCGGUAAUACAGAGGGUGCGAGCGUUGUCCGGAAUUACUGGGCGUAAAGGGCGCGUAGGCGGCCCCGUGCGCGUGCCGUGAAAGCCCGGGGCUCAACCCCGGGUCGGCGGUGCGGACGGCGGGGCUGGAGCACGUCAGGGGCAGGCGGAAUUCCGGGUGUAGCGGUGGAAUGCGUANAGAUCCGGAAGAACACCGGUGGCGAAGGCGGCCUGCUGGGGCGUGGCUGACGCUGANGCGCGACAGCGUGGGGAGCAAACAGGANNANAUACCCUGGUANUCCACGCCGNANACGAUGGGCACUAGGUGCCCGGGGGAGCGACCCCCUGGGUGCNGGCGCUAACGCAUUAAGUGCNCCGCCUGGGGAGUACGNCCGCAAGGCUGAAACUCAAAGGAAUUGACGGGGGCCCGCACAAGCGGUGGAGCAUGUGGUUUAAUUCGACGCAACGCGAAGAACCUUACCCGGGCUUGACAUGGCUCGGACGGCCUGCGGAAACGUAGGCGUUCCUUCGGGACCGAGUCACAGGUGCUGCAUGGCUGUCGUCAGCUCGUGUCGUGAGAUGUUGGGUUAAGUCCCGCAACGAGCGCAACCCCCGCCCCUAGUUGCCAGCGGGUAGAGCCGGGGACUCUAGGGGGACUGCCGGUGCCAAACCGGAGGAAGGUGGGGACGACGUCAAGUCAUCAUGGUCCUUACGCCCGGGGCCACACACGUGCUACAAUGGCGGGGACAGCGGGGCGCCAGGGCGCGAGCCCGAGCCGAUCCCGAAACCCCGCCUCAGUUCGGAUUGUCCUCUGCAACUCGAGGGCAUGAAGCUGGAAUCGCUAGUAAUCGCGGAUCAGCUACGCCGCGGUGAAUACGUUCCCGGGCCUUGUACACACCGCCCGUCACGCCAUGGAAGCGGCGAGCGCCCGAAGUCCGUGCAGGAACCCGGCGACGGGGCCGAGCGGCCGAAGGCGAGCGUCGUGACUGGGGCGAAGUCGUAACAAGGUAGCCGUAGGGGAACCUGCGG